GAGUGAAAUAGAACCUGAAACCGUGUACGUACAAGCAGUGGGAGCACCUUCGGGUGUGACUGCGUACCUUUUGUAUAAUGGGUCAGCGACUUAUAUUCUGUAGCAAGGUUAACCGCAUAGGGGAGCCGUAGGGAAACCGAGUCUUAACUGGGCGAAUGAGUUGCAGGGUAUAGACCCGAAACCCGGUGAUCUAGCCAUGGGCAGGUUGAAGGUUGGGUAACACUAACUGGAGGACCGAACCGACUAAUGUUGAAAAAUUAGCGGAUGACUUGUGGCUGGGGGUGAAAGGCCAAUCAAACCGGGAGAUAGCUGGUUCUCCCCGAAAGCUAUUUAGGUAGCGCCUCGUGAACUCAUCUUCGGGGGUAGAGCACUGUUUCGACUAGGGGGUCAUCCCGACUUACCAACUCGAUGCAAACUACGAAUACCGAAGAAUGUUAUCACGGGAGACACACGGCGGGUGCUAACGUUCGUCGUGAAGAGGGAAACAACCCAGACCGCCAGCUAAGGUCCCAAAGUCAUGGUUAAGUGGGAAACGAAGUGGGAAGGCUCAGACAGCCAGGAUGUUGGCUUAGAAGCAGCCAU
rnacentral:rRNA from 1 species